CAGCAGCCGCGGUAAUACGUAGGUGGCAAGCGUUGUCCGGAAUUAUUGGGCGUAAAGGGCUCGCAGGCGGUUUCUUAAGUCUGAUGUGAAAGCCCCCGGCUCAACCGGGGAGGGUCAUUGGAAACUGGGAAACUUGAGUGCAGAAGAGGAGAGUGGAAUUCCACGUGUAGCGGUGAAAUGCGUAGAGAUGUGGAGGAACACCAGUGGCGAAGGCGACUCUCUGGUCUGUAACUGACGCUGAGGAGCGAAAGCGUGGGGAGCGAACAGGAUUAGAGACCCCCGUAGUCCCUGUCUCUUAUAC
rnacentral:rRNA from 1 species